UGCUAUAAGGGGGUCGGAGCAGAAAAAUGUGAGCCCGUUGCAAAAUCUAUCACAUUUGUUGUUUUUGUUUGCCUGGUACCGCAUCAUCCUGUUUCCUCUAGAAACAGAACUUUUUUAUUUUUAUUUUUUUUUCUAUGAGGGAACAAUUUACUCAGUCAUAGACACUGACUCACAUCUGCCGGUUAGAUGAACCUGUCUCUCUAGAGUUCUGCAAGACUCUUCUUCAAGGCUCCUCCGCUAAAGCCAUGAAAAAGGCUUGUUUCUACUACUGAUAAUUCUAAACAUAGAGGAUGUGAAUGUGAAGGCCACCGGUGAUGGAUGAUUUCCCAUAAAGAGAGGGCGUAUCUGAAAAUGAAACUAAGCAGAUUCAGGAAGAUCUAAGAAAUGGAGGGUGAUACAGAUUUUUUUGAUGUUGCUUGAACCUCUGGAUCAAACCUGUGCCCGAGGCUCUUAACCUUUGGUUAAGACCUUUGGUUUUAACCCUUGGUUAAAACCUCCUCAGUUUUAUGGUCCUAUAAAUUCCCUUUUGCUUAGACUUGUUCUGGUUGGAUUUCUGUCAUUUGCAAUAGAGAGUUCUGACUCAUAGUCAUGUGAAUUAACCUAUUUUGAUGUGCCUCUUCCUAUAUUUAUAGAUGGAAACCAUCUCUCUGUAUAAAAACGAUCACAGCGAUGGUAGCAUCUUCUCACAGAAGUCCACAUUUCAUUGGUAAAGGCUUUGGGGGAGGGAUUCUGAGCGCCUCACUUCAGGCCUACAUCAGAGCUCCUCGCGCAUGGCAGUCUGGACAAUUCAUCCCUUUAAGGUCACCAGCCAAAAGGGCAAGACAGAUUUUGCUCACCAACUUAUCCCUACUGCUGAACACUGUCCCUGAUACAUGAUAGGAAUGUUCGAAGCUUAAGAAGAGAAGACAAGAGAAGAUAAUGCUUUCUUCUACUGGAAUGCACUCGCCUUGUCAAUAACAGUGGAAUUUUAAGCAAAUCCUUCCUUGCCCUCAGGAUACUUUUGUAGAAACAGGAAAGGGCUGAAUUUUUUCAUCUGAGUUGACAAACAGCGAAAGAGAAUAUGGAAGUAGAAGCUGGUGAUCGAGGAGAAAUGAGAAAUGGCCGAAACCAUUGGGAAGGCAUCAUAAACCGUGGUAAGUGCUCAUGGCCAUUCCAGUACUUCAAAUGAAAGCAGAAGUGUGAAGGAAGCCACAUGGAACGAGACAGAAACACAGGGUGCUCAAUGGCAGAGUUUAGACUGUUGCCUCACCUUCUCAGUAAAGCAGAAACCUUCAAGAAGCCGUCGGAGCUCUCUCCCUCUUUGACGUGGGAAGACUCAAGACAACGCAUGCUGUAGUCAUUGGUGCUGCCACGUUCCCAUCAUCCAUCUGCCCUCUUUUCUCAGCUGAUACUUCCAUCUACUCCUUGAUGAUUCCUCAGAAAGUCUCUUCGUCAUCUUGUGCUUCAUUUCUACACCUAUAGAAAUUGGUCAGAAUGAAACUAUAAAGUUUACACAUGAAAUAAAAUGAGGAUAUUUGAAAUUGCAAGUGGCCGGUACAAGCCAAACGUGGCUCGUGUAAUGGGUAAGCCUGGUGGUGGUUCAUGCUUCAGGCAUGACUGGUGGAAUCCGGGGGUUCAAAUGAUGCUUCCCUCAUCCUGCAUGUGGGCUCUGCCCUCAAGGUAGGGAAAAAAUGAGCCCUAGCCAUCGCAGAAUCACACUGACCCAGUUAAACUGUCCCAGAAGGAAGAGGUACUUCUCUCCACCUGUGUCCAUACGUGCCUUCAGGGAAGGCGCCUGCUCAGAUCACUUGCCCUUCCUCUGUCCAUUGCCAUUGCAGAGGAAUCCUGGAAUAAUUUUGUUCUCGUGAGCAGGGACAACAUGAUUGACCACACGUGAAAUAGGUGGUGAUGGUGGCGGGUGUCACUUCCAGAAAUAAGGGUGCUAGUUAGAUGAAAGCAAUGGGAUCCUCUCCAUCCACCCGCGUACCCAUGCAGCCAGCUACCCAGACAAGUGGGCAGUCAUUCACUGACAGCGUAUUGUAGCCAUCGCAGUAUGCUAAGCCAUGUCUGAGAUUCCUAAGGACAGUGAGACACAACUCACAAAUCAAGACGGCGCGAGGUCAGAAGGGCUAAGCGGGGUAAGGGAGACGGUGGAAAGCCUACGAACGUUCAGCUGAAGGAACUAUUCCCUAUAGCUAGGGGAAAUUGGGAAUGACUUCUCAGAGAUAGCAUAGUGAUGUAGUGCAUGUGUUACUGGCACUUAAAAACUAGGGUUUGAUUCGUGGCUCCUCUAGUUAUUAGCUGUGGAACAUUGGCACUCUUUAGAUUCGCUUCACUGUCUCCAAAAGGGGAGUAAGAUAGGAUCUGCCUCAUAGGGACAUGGUGUGGAGAUGAGGCACGUUUGAGCUUUUAGCAUCACGCCUGGCAGGAAACAAAAGUUCAACGAAUGGCAGAUGUCAUGGUUUUGUUGCAGUGGUUUUGAGAGCUUUAUUUGAAAAGUUGCACCUGGAAAAGAAACGUCGCAUCCUUAAUGACAUUUGUGAAUGUCCUGAGGGUACUGAAAGCUGGCAUGAUCACGAAAACACCCGCGUCGUGUUUGUAGGGAUGAGGGAGGACAGCGUCCCUGUUUUCAUGACGGACAGUAGCCACAUGGUGGGUGGCAGCUGGAUUGUGUCAUACCCAGUUGUGUGCCUGAGACCGUGCGUUUCCUACUGAAGAGGACAAAGAGACAUCUAAAGAAAAAUAGACGUGAAUCAUAGGGAAAAGGGCACUGGGUCUGUUUUGGAUUAGUGGAGAGGAAAUGGGUGGAAAACAUUUGGUUGUCUGAGCAUAAGAAGAGCUAUUUAAAAAGUCCCAGGUUUGUGUGUUCUCCAGAAUGUUUCUUCCUAGUAAUAAAGCCUGCAAAGUCAUGUGACACAGGAAAAAAGAUGUAAUUUGGAUUUGGAAGAACGGGCUUUAGCCUUGACCCGACCAGGUUCUGCUUUGUGAAUGGGGGAAAGCUCACCUAGGGUGGUCAGCCUCAUUUUCCCCACCGGCAAUUCAGGGUGAUGCUCUGCCUUCCUCGCAGGGUUUCAGCGGGCACGCGGGGAAAUCAAGUGACUUAAUGAAACAUACGUUGUGGGAGGAGUCGUUAGCACUAUGGGACAGUGCAAGGACUAUUAGGCACAGGGUACAAAGGAGUGUGGUGAAGCCAAGACGGCACCAGGACCCCAUAUCACAGUGUGGGGCUUUUCUACCUGGGGUGUGUACCAAAGCCUGGAAUUCAUAGUCCCGUCUUUCGGGAUGACUUCUUUGCCAUGAGGGCAUUUCGAUAUUGUGUUUUUCAUUUCGUUGAAAAUCUAACAAAACAACGUAAGCAUGUUCUACAUCAUCUGGUUCCCCUUAUAAAGAAGUGUUGCCAUGCAGGGCCAGUGCCCACAUUUGCAUUGGUGUUUAUAACUGUGUUGGAGUCAAGAAGAACUACUUUGAUUGUCCCAGGCUAAAGAGUGAAGGCAGACUUUAUACACAAAUUAUAAAUUCCUGCCAAGAAAAGGCUGCGUAAUAUCAUGGGGUACUGUAGGAGUGACGCGAGGAAAUUUGCAAGUGGUGAUUUAGGGUCAGCAAAAGCCUCUCUCAUAUUACGAUUUGCAUUAGUAUGAAUUUUUAGUUUUGUUUGGAUUUACUUGUUUAUAGUCAUGAAAUUUAUCAGUAAAAGAAAGGCUUGCCUGGUUUUUUAUUAGUAUCGUGUUAAUAUUGUAAUAACAAUAAUUAUCACUUUAAAUUUUUUUUAACGUUUAUUUAUUUUUGAGACAGAGAGAGACAGAGCAUGAAUGGGGGAGGGGCAGAGAGAGAGGGAGGCACAGAAUC